rnacentral:rRNA from 1 species
UACAGAGGGGGCAAGCGUUGUUCGGAAUUACUGGGCGUAAAGGGCGCGUAGGCGGCACAGCAAGUCGGGAGUGAAAGCCCGGGGCUCACCCCCGGAAGGGCAUUGGAAACUGGCGGACUCGAGUCCCGGAGAGGAAGGUGGAAUUCCUGGUGUAGCGGUGAAAUGCGUAGAUAUCAGGAGGAACACCGGUGGCGAAGGCGGCUCUCUGGACGGUGACUGACGCUGAGACGCGAAAGCGUGGGGAGCAAACAGG